UACGGAGGGGGCUAGCGUUGUUCGGAAUUACUGGGCGUAAAGCGCGCGUAGGCGGACCUGCAAGUCGGGGGUGAAAGCCCGAGGCUCAACCUCGGAACUGCCUUCGAUACUGCGGGUCUCGAGUCCGGGAGAGGUGAGUGGAAUUCCUAGUGUAGAGGUGAAAUUCGUAGAUAUUAGGAAGAACACCAGUGGCGAAGGCGGCUACCUGGCCGGAUACUGACACUGAAGCACGAAAGCGUGGGGAGCAAACAGG
rnacentral:rRNA from 1 species